UACACUCCUACGGGAGGCAGCAGUGGGGAAUAUUGGACAAUGGGCGCAAGCCUGAUCCAGCCAUGCCGCGUGAGUGAUGAAGGCCCUAGGGUUGUAAAGCUCUUUCACCGGUGAAGAUAAUGACGGUAACCGGAGAAGAAGCCCCGGCUAACUUCGUGCCAGCAGCCGCGGUAAUACGAAGGGGGCUAGCGUUGUUCGGAUUUACUGGGCGUAAAGCGCACGUAGGCGGACUAUUAAGUCAGGGGUGAAAUCCCGGGGCUCAACCCCGGAACUGCCUUUGAUACUGGUAGUCUUGAGUUCGAGAGAGGUGGGUGGAAUUCCGAGUGUAGAGGUGAAAUUCGUAGAUAGUCGGAGGAACACCAGUGGCGAAGGCGGCUCACUGGCUCGAUACUGACGCUGAGGUGCGAAAGCGUGGGGAGCAAACAGGAUUAGAUACCCCGGUAGUCC
rnacentral:rRNA from 1 species